rnacentral:rRNA from 1 species
GUAAGUGAAUUGCAGAUUUUCAGUGAAUCAUCGAAUCUUUGAACGCACCUUGCGCCCCUUGGUAUUCCGAGGGGCAUGCCUGUUUGAGUGUCAUU